rnacentral:tRNA from 1 species
UCCAGGGUAGCCGAGUGAACAAGGCACCUGCCCGGUAAGCAGAAGGGUGUGGGUUCGAUUCCCGCCCCUGGAC